GACGAACGCUGGCGGCGUGCCUAAUACAUGCAAGUCGAACGCAGUGGGGACGGGUGAGUAACACGUGGGUAACCUGCCCAUCAGAGGGGAUAACACUUGUAAACCGGUGCUAAACCGAUACUGAUGGAUGGACCCGCGGGUCAUUAGCUAGUUGGUGCGGUAACGGCGCACCAAGGCCACGAUGCAUAGCUGACCUGGGAGGAUGAUCGGCCACACUGGGACUGAGACACGGCCCAGACUCCUACGGUAGGCAGCAGGAGGGAAUCUUGGGCAAUGGACGAAAGUCUGACCGAGCAACGCCGCGUGAGUGAAGAAGGUUUUCGGAUCGUAAAGCUCUGUUGUUAGAGAAGCGGUAUCUAACCAGAAAGCCACGGCUAACUACGUGCCAGCAGCCGCGGUAAUUC
rnacentral:rRNA from 1 species